rnacentral:sRNA from 1 species
GCCAGGUGCAGUGGUGUGCACCUGUAAUCUCAGUAGCUCUGGAGGCUGAGACUGGAGGAUCGUGAAUUCAAAGCCAGCCUCGG